rnacentral:misc_RNA from 1 species
UGUGGGAGCGGGCUUGCUCGCGAUGGCAGAGUGUCAGUCACCAGAUGUAUUGACUGAUUCACCGUCAUCGCGAGCAAGCCCGCUCCCACA